rnacentral:sRNA from 1 species
GAAACUGCUCGGUCGGACGGUGAUAGCGAGCCACGCAUUCACAGGGCCACUGCUGCUCACAGAAGCAGUGAGGAUGAUGCCAGGAUGAUGUCUGCCUCGCGCCUGGCUGGGACUCUGAUCCCAGCCAUGGCCUUCCUCUCCUGCGUGAGACCAGAAAGCUGGGAGCCCUGCGUGGAGGUGUGAAAUCCAGACAAUUGAAGAUGGGGCAUAUCAGAGCCUAAGCCACCUCUCCACCUUAAUAUUGACAGGAAACCCCAUCCAGAGUUUAGCCCUGGGAGCCUUUUCUGGACUAUCAAGUUUACAGAAGCUGGUGGCUGUGGAGACAAAUCUAGCAUCUCUAGAGAACUUCCCCAUUGGACAUCUCAAAACUUUGAAAGAACUUAAUGUGGCUCACAAUCUUAUCCAAUCUUUCAAAUUACCUGAGUAUUUUUCUAAUCUGACCAAUCUAGAGCACUUGGACCUUUCCAGCAACAAGAUUCAAAGUAUUUAUUGCACAGACUUGCGGGUUCUACAUCAAAUGCCCCUACUCAAUCUCUCUUUAGACCUGUCCCUGAACCCUAUGAACUUUAUCCAACCAGGUGCAUUUAAAGAAAUUAGGCUUCAUAAGCUGACUUUGAGAAAUAAUUUUGAUAGUUUAAAUGUAAUGAAAACUUGUAUUCAAGGUCUGGCUGGUUUAGAAGUCCAUCGUUUGGUUCUGGGAGAAUUUAGAAAUGAAGGAAACUUGGAAAAGUUUGACAAAUCUGCUCUAGAGGGCCUGUGCAAUUUGACCAUUGAAGAAUUCCGAUUAGCAUACUUAGACUACUACCUCGAUGAUAUUAUUGACUUAUUUAAUUGUUUGACAAAUGUUUCUUCAUUUUCCCUGGUGAGUGUGACUAUUAAAAGCGUAAAAGACUUUUCUUAUAAUUUCGGAUGGCAACAUUUAGAAUUAGUUAACUGUAAAUUUGGACAGUUUCCCACAUUGAAACUCAAAUCUCUCAAAAGGCUUACUUUCACUUCCAACAAAGGUGGGAAUGCUUUUUCAGAAGUUGAUCUACCAAGCCUUGAGUUUCUAGAUCUCAGUAGAAAUGGCUUGAGUUUCAAAGGUUGCUGUUCUCAAAGUGAUUUUGGGACAACCAGCCUAAAGUAUUUAGAUCUGAGCUUCAAUGGUGUUAUUACCAUGAGUUCAAACUUCUUGGGCUUAGAACAACUAGAACAUCUGGAUUUCCAGCAUUCCAAUUUGAAACAAAUGAGUGAGUUUUCAGUAUUCCUAUCACUCAGAAACCUCAUUUACCUUGACAUUUCUCAUACUCACACCAGAGUUGCUUUCAAUGGCAUCUUCAAUGGCUUGUCCAGUCUCGAAGUCUUGAAAAUGGCUGGCAAUUCUUUCCAGGAAAACUUCCUUCCAGAUAUCUUCACAGAGCUGAGAAACUUGACCUUCCUGGACCUCUCUCAGUGUCAACUGGAGCAGUUGUCUCCAACAGCAUUUAACUCACUCUCCAGUCUUCAGGUACUAAAUAUGAGCCACAACAACUUCUUUUCAUUGGAUACGUUUCCUUAUAAGUGUCUGAACUCCCUCCAGGUUCUUGAUUACAGUCUCAAUCACAUAAUGACUUCCAAAAAACAGGAACUACAGCAUUUUCCAAGUAGUCUAGCUUUCUUAAAUCUUACUCAGAAUGACUUUGCUUGUACUUGUGAACACCAAAGUUUCCUGCAAUGGAUCAAGGACCAGAGGCAGCUCUUGGUGGAAGUUGAACGAAUGGAAUGUGCAACACCUUCAGAUAAGCAGGGCAUGCCUGUGCUGAGUUUGAAUAUCACCUGUCAGAUGAAUAAGACCAUCAUUGGUGUGUCGGUCCUCAGUGUGCUUGUAGUAUCUGUUGUAGCAGUUCUGGUCUAUAAGUUCUAUUUUCACCUGAUGCUUCUUGCUGGCUGCAUAAAGUAUGGUAGAGGUGAAAACAUCUAUGAUGCCUUUGUUAUCUACUCAAGCCAGGAUGAGGACUGGGUAAGGAAUGAGCUAGUAAAGAAUUUAGAAGAAGGGGUGCCUCCAUUUCAGCUCUGCCUUCACUACAGAGACUUUAUUCCCGGUGUGGCCAUUGCUGCCAACAUCAUCCAUGAAGGUUUCCAUAAAAGCCGAAAGGUGAUUGUUGUGGUGUCCCAGCACUUCAUCCAGAGCCGCUGGUGUAUCUUUGAAUAUGAGAUUGCUCAGACCUGGCAGUUUCUGAGCAGUCGUGCUGGUAUCAUCUUCAUUGUCCUGCAGAAGGUGGAGAAGACCCUGCUCAGGCGGCAGGUGGAGCUGUACCGCCUUCUCAGCAGGAACACUUACCUGGAGUGGGAGGACAGUGUCCUGGGGCGGCACAUCUUCUGGAGACGACUCAGAAAAGCCCUGCUGGAUGGUAAAUCAUGGAAUCCAGAAGGAACAGUGGGUACAGGAUGCAAUUGGCAGGAAGCAACAUCUAUCUGAAGAGGAAAAAUAAAAACCUCCUGAGGCAUUUCUUGCCCAGCUGGGUCCAACACUUGUUCAGUUAAUAAGUAUUAAAUGCUGCCACAUGUCAGGCCUUAUGCUAAGGGUGAGUAAUUCCAUGGUGCACUAGAUAUGCGGGGCUGCUAAUCUCAAGGAGCUUCCAGUGCAGAGGGAAUAAAUGCUGGACUAAAAUACAGAGUCUUCCAGGUGGGCAUUUCAACCAACUCAGUCAAGGAACCCAUGACAAAGAAAGUCAUUUCAACUCUUACCUCAUCAAGUUGAAUAAAGACAGAGAAAGCAGAAA